GUCACGAGGUAGAGUGGCCGCUGACAGGAGAACAGGAAACAUUGAAAACGACAGGAGAAAUGAAAAGAUAUAAGCAGGUCGGCAUAGUGAAAUCAAAGCAUUAGGGAAGAGGGGGGAAAGAGAAAGGAGAGAAAGGGAGCGAGCGAGAGUGAGAGAGCGGCCUCGCUGCCAUAUAAGAGAGAGAGAGAGACCAGGGAGUCCGCUUGAAGCUUGAGAUACAGGAAGACAGGCAGAGGGGAGAGAGGGAGAGAGAGAGGGGGAGAGAGAGCAGCUGGUCCAUUGAAGAAAGAUGGCUACAGUCACUGCGAACGGAGUGCAGCAAGAGAAUGGAUUCAGCACCAUGAACAGCGCCGGCAGGAUGAACGGGCUCACCAUCGGGCAGAACACUAUUCCCAUGAAAGACCAUGACGCCAUCAAGUUGUUUAUAGGGCAGAUACCAAGAAAUCUGGAAGAGAAAGACCUGAAACCCUUGUUUGAGGAAUUCGGGAAGAUAUACGAACUCACCGUACUGAAAGACAGGUUUACAGGAAUGCAUAAAGGAUGUGCCUUUCUCACGUACUGUGCCAGAGAGUCUGCGCUGAAGGCCCAGAGUGCCCUGCACGAGCAGAAGACCCUGCCGGGGAUGAAUCGGCCGAUUCAGGUAAAGCCAGCGGACAGUGAAGGACGGGGAGAAGACAGGAAGCUGUUCGUGGGCAUGCUGGGAAAGCAGCAGGGCGAGGAGGACGUCCGGCGGCUCUUUGAAACCUUCGGCCAGAUCGAGGAGUGCACCAUCCUCCGAGGUCCUGAUGGGGCCAGUAAGGGUUGUGCCUUUGUUAAGUUCUCAAGCCACGCGGAAGCACAGGCAGCCAUCAACACCCUGCACGGUGGACAGACCAUGCCGGGGGCCUCAUCCAGCCUGGUGGUUAAGUUCGCGGACACGGAUAAGGAGCGAACUCUGCGCAGGAUGCACCAGAUGGCCGGUCAGCUUGGCAUCUUCAGCCCCAUGACUGUGCAGUUUGGAGCUUACGGGGCCUACACUCAUGCUCAGAUGAUGCAGCAGCAGGCGGCUCUCAUGGCGGCCGCCCAGGGAACCUACCUGAACCCCAUGGCUGCCAUCGCCGCCGCUCAGAUGCAGCAAAUGGCGACUUUCAAUGUUAACGGCCUCGUAGCUGCCCCCAUGACGCCUUCUUCAGGCACCAGCACCCCACCAGGCAUCAACGCCACAGCCGUGCCUAGCAUAGCCACUCCCAUCGGGGUCAACGGCUUCAGCGCCCUGCCGCCACAGACCAAUGGCCAGCCGACAUCAGAGCCCAUAUUCAGUAACGGCAUCCACCCCUACCCUGCACAAAGUCCUACAGUGGCUGACCCCCUCCAGCAAGCCUACGCAGGAGUACAGCAUUACGCAGCAGCCUACCCCGCUGCCUAUGCGCCAAUCAGCCAAGCGUUUCCGCAGCAACCAGCCAUCAUCCCCCAGCAGCAGAGGGAAGGGCCAGAAGGCUGCAACCUGUUUAUCUACCACCUGCCCCAGGAGUUCGGAGACGCCGAGCUCACGCAGAUGUUCCUGCCGUUCGGCAGUGUCAUCUCUGCCAAAGUCUUUGUAGACCGGGCCACCAAUCAGAGCAAAUGUUUUGGUUUUGUCAGCUUCGACAACCCGUCCAGCGCUCAGGCUGCCAUCCAGGCCAUGAACGGCUUCCAGAUAGGCAUGAAGAGGCUGAAGGUGCAGCUGAAGCGGCCGAAAGAUGCCAACAGACCUUACUGACUGCUCUGCCGUCACCACCAGGUACCACGUGCUGAUAUCACCGAGCGCGAGCUGGCACACAGAUUCUCGUUCGCUGGGGCGCUCGGGACAAAUGGACCCCAGACUCUUCUUGGGCAGUGGGACUGCGUGACACUUGAGAAUCUCAAAAAUGUACCCAUCUAUACCAAUUUCCCUGUGUAUCUCAAUAUCUCAGCCUCAGCAGCCAUAUUGUUUGGUGUGUUCAUUAAUGGAGAAGUCAGGAACAAAAUAUCACCAAAGGACAGGCACUGUGAAAGAUUGUUACUGAGCUUCAACAUCCUUCACACCAGAAGUAACAGGUUUUUUGACUAAUUAUAACUGUCGUUGUUUAUUGUCUGAUUUAUCCUACUAUCACGGUAUAAAUGUUAAUAUGCGGAGGGAACAAAAGGAAUGAUUAUAGCCUUGUUGUAAAUGCAUCUUAGGGCUGGCUAUCAAGUGGUAAUGGCAAGGCAGACAAAAGAUCAAUACAGCUAUGAUUAUCUGGCGUGAUAUCGCUAUAUUCCCAAUUUUAAAGACCAUCGGCAGAAUGUCUAAUUUUGAAUUUAUAAAAUGGUCUGGACAGUGUAAUUUGCUUGUUUUAACAAGGGACAAAUUGAGAAUGUGCCGAAAAUUGCCGAAGACGGCAUAUGCUGCUGGCAAUUCAAACUCAAAUAUUACUCUUUCAGCCGGAUGGACUGCUGUGAUGGAUCAAGUCGCAUUGAUAACAUUGUCCAGGUGUGCUAAAGAACAAAAAAUGCAAAUAGCGUAGACUGUUGUUUUAGGAUUUCAUAAAGAGCAAGAGGAGGAAAGAGGAAAUUCAAACUUCUGUUUUUCUAGAGAGAAACUGCUGCGUAACGGAAUAAAAUGCACCUAAAUAUAGGUUUGCUAUUUUAUAACAGUUACAUAAAAAUGAUAUUAGUAUUUGUUGUAGCCAUGGGGCCUCCGCUAUAUAGUUUUUAAUAUAAUGUUUGCUGGACUAUGAAGAUCACUCUUUCCAUAAGCAAAAUCUAUAGGUCUUUUUUUACAGGACAUUCCUGUCCGUUGUUUCUAAGUAUCUUUUUUAAUGUUGCAUAACAUUUCGCUAAAAUUAAGCUCUCAAGGUUAUUAAAUUGUGAAUAAUUUACAGGAGAUGAAACUCAACUAAUGAAAUACUUGCAAAUACUAUGGAAUAUUAAAACAGACACAUUGCAAGGAAAUAAUGUUUUUAAACCAAAAAAAUAACAUGCAUUAUUUUAAAGGAAGUCUUGAUGUAUGUUUUACGUUUCGUAUCACGACUUUUGAAUCUCACAACGGUCACGUGACUUUUCUAGUGCAUCUAUUUGGAUUGAGGUCAGGACUGAGGCCUUGGAAAUGGAUGGAGCUGCAGGUUACCAACGGUCGGAGGUGCAGGCUGAUGUGUUUAGUAGCUGAUCAUGACUAUUUACAGGUCUCUCAAGGCAUGGCCUUUUCAUCCUGGGUCGUCCGUGCUCUUUGGUCCUCAUCUAUAUAUUCUUACAGUGUGAUAGGACCAUCUGCUAACUCCAUUCAGCUGUUUUAAUAAACAUGUAUUUUCAAAGAAUUAACAACUGUCAUGAAAGACAGUAGAAAGGAACCGAGUGUUGUUUCAGCAGAAAAGCCGUCUGAAAAAGGAAUUACAAGCUACCUACCUUUUUAAUUUAUUCAUUUUUUCGUCCAUUACUGCCAUCUGCUCAAUUUAUGAAUAUAAUUUAUAAUGAUUCUUAAAAUACUACCGCAAGAGCAGACCUGUAAAUAUUCAAUAGCACUUACUCCCUGUAUUUUCUAAUCAUUUCCUUACUUAACAGUUAAACGGCUAUAACCAGCACAUAUUUGUCAGCCAAACUUUUAGACAAAUGGGAGCUGAUGGGAACGGAGGACUGACGGCGGGUGGGGUCAACUCUAUUUCCAACAUAAGGAAAAGAAAUUCCACCACAUCUUUUCUUCUCUUGCACCCAACCAACCUGCAAACCACGCAGGUCCAAUCAUAGGUCAAGAUGGCCUCCCUGUUGUGUAGCCACCUGUCAUGGGGGACAAACUCCCAGACCUGGUGAAGGGUCUCCAAAUGUUAUUUCCACAAGUGCAGUAUAAGUACAAAGACUUCUCGCUCUGCCACAUAUCCUGAAAGAAGAACGGUCCCUUGAUUAUUUGGGAAAGAAAUCGAACGACUGAAAAAGGAUCCAGGAAGUUUUUUUCCUAACCCAGUUUUUUUUUUUUCUUUUUUUUCCCCCCCUCCAUCUUUUUUUUUGGCAAUUUUUCAUUCGCAGUUGAUGGAAGCCAAUUUUAUUGUGACCAAGUUGCUGCAGCUGUUCUCUGAAGCAGGAGUGAGAACCUUUACAGACUCAUAGCGCUCCAAGCAUGCUUUACCGGGAAACACACAGAGACUUUCAAGCACACCAAAAACAGCACACACACUCACACACGCACAGCUGCACACACGCACACAGACAAGGAGACACAGCAGCUUGCUGGCUUUUUGGUUUUUGUGCCUCUACACAGGUAUGUUUGUCCCUGAUAGGGCUGCCAGGACAAGCAGUGGAUGAACUGGAAAGGGAAGAGGAGAAUUCAAGAUUAUUUACAAGCAUCAUUCCUUAGGAUAUAGGGACCAAAAGACCAAAUGCUUUUUAAAGGACGUAUAUAUGUAUAUAUAUAUUCAUAUAUAUACAGUAUAUAUAACUCUUACCUUGUAGCUGCAAGUAUUUACAAUUCAAUAUUAGGGGAAAGAGAGACAUUCAAUCAUUAUCCAGUGGCUUAAGUAUGACUUAAAAAACCAAUUAUGGAAAAAAGCAUUUAAAAAAAAACAGAAGAGGGGUUUAAAAUGAUUUGUUCCUGUAGCUAUUUGCUGUAUCAGGUAGUUUUAGAAAAGUAUAUUAGAUUAGCAGAGUUGUAAGAGCAAAUUUCUGGUGUUUUGUGUUUUUUUUUUAAGAAUAUCUGCUUUUGAUAAUGAAGGAGGAAAAAUGCUUCUCUCGGGACGGUUCUGGUGAAAGCGUUCGAUCUCUCUGUGGAACUUUUCUUUGGUUUGCCACUGGAUAUCUUCCUCGUCAUGCUGUACAUUUCACUGCAAGUUUCUAACAACUGCAAGAUGAACUGGCUGGACAAAAAAAAAAAAAAAAGGCACCGGG